AUUUUUGUUCGGGGGGGAUAAAUAUCUGGGGGGUGAUGCUGCUUGCUUUGGCCGGGGCCUGGUGGCAACGCCUGGAAAGGCCAAGGAAAAAGUUUAACAAAAUUUGUUUUCUAUGUCUGCAUGGCAAGAUUGAGACCAUAAUAUUGAUAAUUUUACAAAUUUAGUAGUAAGAAUAAUCAAAUAUGAAACCAUCAAAUCAAAAUAUAUAUAAUUUGUGGGGGUGCAAAAACUUUGGGGGGCAGUGCCAAAUGCCUCUUGGGGGGGGGGAGGGGGUUGCAAAUCAUUUCUGGGGGUAUGCCCCCCCCCAGAAAAUCUGUGCCUGGCAAGAAUGUUAUGUGUACAUAAUCAUGUGUAAUGUUGUUUGGAUUAAUUGCAUUUAAACGUUGGAAUCCAGUGUCGAACAAUAACCACAACAAUUAUUAUAUAAAGUAUUUGGUUGUUUUAGUGUAAUAUUAAUUUCUCACAUAUUUUUUUCAGAAAUAAAGCACCAUUGAGCAACUUGUUGGGAAAGAGGAGUCACAAACUGUUGAUGAAUAUAUUUAAUUAACUACACAUAAAAUACAAUUUUAUUAACAGUAUAUUGAUUUAUGGGUUUAUUAGACCACAUUAUUUUCAUAUUAUUAAUAAUUAAAAAUAAAAUUAACAAAUAAAUUACAAAAUCAAUGUGAAAAUAUUGCAAUAAUCAAUUAAAAUGUCAAACCAGCCAAUUGUUUCAAAUUAUAGCUGUUAUUGUUAUUGAAUAUGUCUAUGCUAUGGACCAGUGGUAUCUGCAUUAUUUUAACAUCGAGACGAGGCUAUAGGGUCAUGUUUUGUGUUUUUUACCCUUUAGCCUCGUUUUCGUCCGUACUUCCACUGAGAUACCGCUGGUUCGCCACAGCGGGUAUUCAAAUACGAUAACAGCUAUUAUGCAUUUGUGAGUGUAACCUAACCCCCUCCCCCCUGAGAGAACAAGAGAGUUGCUGUGGGCCCCUAUUAUCCCUUUUGAUAAGUCAGGCAAUCCACCACAUAAUUUUCCUUUCAAAUGCCAGACGAAUAUACUUGUCAAUGCAAGGGGAGAGCUUUGGCACUCUAUGGGUUGACCAGUAUAUGCCUAUGCAUCCUGUUAAGCCUUUGAUAAGUCUGAAUGCAACACAAUGCACCCUACUUUAUUAUUCUGUCUAAUGGCAAAUUUUAUUUGUGAAGGGGAGAGUGCUGAAUGAGUUGACCUGCACCCUGAUGUGCCCUACUUUUAGUAUUUUACUCUGUCUUAUGCCAGAGUAUUUUACUCUGUCUAACGCCAGAUGAUUUUACUCAUCAAGUGGAGAGUGCUGCCCCUCGAUGGAUGGAUGAAUGGAAUAUUAUACUAAUUGCUUUGAACAAAGGUGAUUCCCUUUGUAGCCUGCUCGCAGCCUGAAAUUAAUUUAGAAGGGGAAAAUU